CCCUUAGAUGUUCUGGGCUGCACGCGCGCUACACUGACGCACGCAACAGGUGCCUGCUCCGGGAGGACUGGGUAAUCAUUUGAGUGUGCGUCGUGAUGGGGAUAGAAUAUUGUAAUUAUUACUCUUCAACGAGGAAUUCCUAGUAAGCGCCAGUCAGCAGCUUGCGCUGAUUACGUCCCUGCCCUUUGUACACACCGCCCGUCGCUCCAACCGAUGGGUGAUCCGGUGAAUGAUUCGGACUUCAGCGGCUCCCCUGGGGUGCGCCGGAGAAAGUUUUGUGAACCUUAUCACUUGGAGGAAGGAGAAGUCGUAACA
rnacentral:rRNA from 1 species